rnacentral:rRNA from 1 species
CAGUCUCAGCUCGGAUAAGAGGCUGAAACUCGCCUCUUUGAAGUCGGAAUCGCUAGUAAUCGCAGAUCAGCAUGUUGCGGUGAAUACGUUCCCGGGUCUUGUACACACCGCCCGUCAAACCAUGAGAGUCACCAACACCCGAAGUCCGUUUAGGCGGCCUAAGGUGGGGGAGAUGAUUGGGGUUAAGUCGUAACAAGGUAGC